rnacentral:rRNA from 1 species
GAUGAACGCUGGCGGCGUGCCUAAUACAUGCAAGUCGAGCGAACGGACGAGAAGCUUGCUUCUCUGAUGUUAGCGGCGGACGGGUGAGUAACACGUGGAUAACCUACCUAUAAGACUGGGAUAACUUCGGGAAACCGGAGCUAAUACCGGAUAAUAUUUUGAACCGCAUGGUUCAAAAGUGAAAGACGGUUUUGCUGUCACUUAUAGAUGGAUCCGCGCUGCAUUAGCUAGUUGGUAAGGUAACGGCUUACCAAGGCAACGAUGCGUAGCCGACCUGAGAGGGUGAUCGGCCACACUGGAACUGAGACACGGUCCAGACUCCUACGGGAGGCAGCAGUAGGGAAUCUUCCGCAAUGGGCGAAAGCCUGACGGAGCAACGCCGCGUGAGUGAUGAAGGUCUUCGGAUCGUAAAACUCUGUUAUUAGGGAAGAACAAAUGUGUAAGUAACUAUGCACGUCUUGACGGUACCUAAUCAGAAAGCCACGGCUAACUACGUG